rnacentral:rRNA from 1 species
AUUGAACGCUGGCGGCGUGCCUAACACAUGCAAGUCGAGCGGCAGCGCGGGAGCAAUCCUGGCGGCGAGCGGCGGACGGGUGAGUAAUGCUUGGGAAUCUGCCUGUUAGUGGGGGACAACCCGGGGAAACUCGGGCUAAUACCGCAUACGCACUACGGUGGAAAGCCGGGGACCGCAAGGCCUGGCGCUAACAGAUGAGCCCAAGUCGGAUUAGCUAGUUGGUAGGGUAACGGCCACCAAGGCGACGAUCCGUAACUGGUCUGAGAGGACGACCAGUCACACCGGAACUGAGACACGGUCCGGACUCCUACGGGAGGCAGCAGUGGGGAAUAUUGGACAAUGGGGAAACCCUGAUCCAGCGACGCCGCGUGGGUGAAGAAGGCCUGCGGGUUGUAAAGCCCUUUCAGUGGGGAAGAAAAGCCUCGACCUAACACGUCGGGGUCUUGACGUAACCCCAUAGAAGAAGCACCGGCUAACUCUGUGCCAGCAG